rnacentral:rRNA from 1 species
GUAAUUCUAGAGCUAAUACAUGCGUCAAACCCCGACUUCUGGGAUUUUAUUUAUUAGAUGGAAACCAAUGCGGGGCAACCCGGUAUAUGGUGAUUCAUAAUAACUUUCGGAUCGAUCUUCGGAUCGAUGCAUCAUUCAAGUUUCUGCCCUAUCAGCUUUGGAUGGUAGGGUAUUGGCCUACCAUGGCUUUAACGGGUAACGGAGAAUUAGGGUUCGAUUCCG